UACGUAGGGGGCAAGCGUUGUCCGGAAUCAUUGGGCGUAAAGCGCGUGUAGGCGGUUCAGUAAGUCUGCUGUGAAAGUCCAGGGCUCAACCCUGGGAUGCCGGUGGAUACUGCUGGGCUAGAGUACGGAAGAGGCGAGUGGAAUUCCCGGUGUAGCGGUGAAAUGCGCAGAUAUCAGGAGGAACACCAGUAGCGAAGGCGGCACUCUGGGCCGGUACUGACGCUGAGGAGCGAAAGCGUGGGGAGCAAACAGG
rnacentral:rRNA from 1 species